CAGUGUGCUUACCCUAACCACCAUCACUGUCGUUUGAAUUUUGUGGAAGCGUUUUAUGUGUCGAAAGUGUUUUCCGGGAAAUAGCAUAUUUAAACGUAUUGCUUAUACAAAAUAAUAUUAACAAAAGUGUGUGCAAGUGUUUGUAAAUAAAGUGUGCAUGUGUACAACUACAAUGCGUUGAUUUGUAACAUAAAAGUGCAAACUCAUGCAAGUGUCCUCGGCGCAAAUCGUGUUAUAACCUGCAAUUUUUACAGUUACAUGUUGUUAGUGCUGCGCUAGGGAUAACAGCGCUCUAACUGUGUUUUAGUAAUUAUCAUAUUUACACCAACUAAUGGAUUAGUUAAAGCGACAGCGCAGAAAUCUAAAAAAAUAGCGCACACGAGGAACCGCAUGGCAACAAAACACUAGACAUUGGAGCU